AGCAGCCGCGGUAAUUCCAGCUCCAAUAGCGUAUAUUAAAGUUGUUGCAGUUAAAAAGCUCGUAGUUGAAUUUCGGGGUCAGUAGGUUGGUCGUGCCACUGGUAUGUACUGGCCUCACUGAUUCCUCCUUCUUGUAGAACCGUAAUGCCAUUAAUUUGGUGUUGCGGGGAAAUAGGACUGUUACUUUGAAAAAAUUAGAGUGUUUAAAGCAGGCUAACGCUUGAAUACAUUAGCAUGGAAUAAUGAAAUAGGACGUUCGAUCCUAUUUUGUUGGUUUCUAGGAUUGACGUAAUGAUUAAUAGGGAUAGUUGGGGGCAUUAGUAUUCAAUUGUCAGAGGUGAAAUUCUUGGAUUUAUUGAAGACUAACUACUGCGAAAGCAUUUGCCAAGGAUGUUUUCACUAAUCAAGAACGAAAGUUAGGGGAUCGAAGACGAUCAGAUACCGUCGUAGUCUUAACCAUAAACUAUGCCGACUAGGGAUCGGAUGAUGUUAAUUUUUAAUGACUCAUUCGGCGCCUUAC
rnacentral:rRNA from 1 species